CUGAAACAAUGUACAUUGAGGCUGGAAGAAAGAUUUCCAUUGACUUAAUGGAUAUUGGAUCAGGCCUUCAGGAGGAAACAUAAUGAUCACUUUUAAUGCCAAGCACCAAUUGUCAAACAAGUACCAAGUGCGGGAGAGCACUCCAGUCAGUAGGAGCCAUGAUUGCUGUUUGGAGAAGAUGUGAUUGCCAACCUGUGGCUGGCGUGAUUGCUCUUUGCAAUCUGCUGUUCCUGAAUGCUUUUUCUGUGGAAGUGUGGGGGAGGUUUCUGCUUAUGUCCACUGGUGCAGCAGCCACCCAUGGCGGGGCAUAGCAGAAUGUGGCAGCAGCUGGCCCUGCUGGAUAAGCAAGCAAAGGAGAAUCAUCAGUCAUGAGACCUGAGGAGACUACUGAAAAUGAGGGAAGGGUACUGCUCAGUAACCCCACUGACUGCAAGAAGACAAGUCAAAAGGAGGACUGGUCUGUUGUGAUAGUGGAGAACAGCAAGAGAGGACCUGGAAAUGAAGAUGGGGGAAUUAACUUGUGAUCUUCAGUCCAUCUGCCUGGGUUGCAACAUCACCAAUCCAGGCUCUUGAAACACCAGGUCCCCUCUUCCAAAUGGAAAGUUUUUGUAAUUGAAGGACAUGCAUCUUUGAAACUUUGUCCUACAUUCAAGUUAAUUGAAUCAAAAGCCAGUUCUGCCAUUACCUGAGCAGUUAAUAAAAUCUAUUGCCUUAUGAUGGAUUUUGUUUUC
rnacentral:lncRNA from 14 species